rnacentral:lncRNA from 1 species
UUUAAGUGAGUUUUAAGAGGUUUUGAUGGUUGAGUAUGGGUAGAUAUGCAUGUUAGGGUUUAUGUGGGUUUUAUGCCCAAUGUAUGAUAAUGUAUGUUCUUGUGAUGUUUGUGUUGGGGUUUAAGUUAGUUUCUAGCCCCUUGAGCAUAUGGGAGAGAGUAUGCAUGAUUGGGAGAGAGUAUGUGAGGUUUGGGUUGUUUUGAUGGUUUUGGCCUAUGUGGGUCAUAAACUAUCUAUGUAUGCUUUAGAUGUUGUUUUUGGGAGUUUAAGCUUGUUUGAG